AGUAAAAAUGAGCUAACUGGACGUUAGUAACGUACAGCUAUAAACGCUCAGCGUCUGUCUGUUACGUCAGAACUAGGACGCUGGUCUCCUAGACGCUGGCGUCUUUAAAGAAACACAGAAUGCGAUCUCUCUGGCAGUAAAAAUGAGCUAACUGGACGUUAGUAACGUACAGCUAUAAACGCUCAGCGUCUGUCUGUUACGUCAGAACUAGGACGCUGGUCUCCUAGACGCUGGCGUCUUUAAAGAAACACAGAAUGCGAUCUCUCUGGCAGUAAAAAUGAGCUAACUGGACGUUAGUAACGUACAGCUAUAAACGCUCAGCGUCUGUCUGUUACGUCAGAACUAGGACGCUGGUCUCCUAGACGCUGGCGUCUUUAAAGAAACACAGAAUGCGAUCUCUCUGGCAGUAAAAAUGAGCUAACUGGACGUUAGUAACGUACAGCUAUAAACGCUCAGCGUCUGUCUGUUACGUCAGAACUAGGACGCUGGUCUCCUAGACGCUGGCGUCUUUAAAGAAACACAGAAUGCGAUCUCUCUGGCAGUAAAAAUGAGCUAACUGGACGUUAGUAACGUACAGCUAUAAACGCUCAGCGUCUGUCUGUUACGUCAGAACUAGGACGCUGGUCUCCUAGACGCUGGCGUCUUUAAAGAAACACAGAAUGCGAUCUCUCUGGCAGUAAAAAUGAGCUAACUGGACGUUAGUAACGUACAGCUAUAAACGCUCAGCGUCUGUCUGUUACGUCAGAACUAGGACGCUGGUCUCCUAGACGCUGGCGUCUUUAAAGAAACACAGAAUGCGAUCUCUCUGGCAGUAAAAAUGAGCUAACUGGACGUUAGUAACGUACAGCUAUAAACGCUCAGCGUCUGUCUGUUACGUCAGAACUAGGACGCUGGUCUCCUAGACGCUGGCGUCUUUAAAGAAACACAGAAUGCGAUCUCUCUGGCAGUAAAAAUGAGCUUACUGGAGGUU
rnacentral:lncRNA from 1 species